AUGGCCGCCAUGGUCGCCGCCGCCGCCCCCGCGCGGCUCGUCCCUCCGCGCCUCUCCGCCCCGUGGCUGCACGUGGUUCAGCUUCGUCCGGCGCCGGGGCGGCUCCUCACGGUGGUCGCGGCGUCGCGUCGGAGCCCCGGCGACGGCGGGAAGAGGGGCAGGAAGAAGCGGGGGAGGCGCGCCACGGAGGCCGACCAGGAGGACGGCCUCUCCGUCGGCUCCGAGGUGGAGAAGAAGAGUUCCACGCCGCGUGCAACGGUCGACGAUGGAAGCGUGAAGCCUGCGCUGGAAGCCAGCGUGACCCCGAAAGACUCGGCCAUCAGAAGAGUUGCACUGGUGGUCAUCGCUGCAGUCUUAUUCGGCGUUAGCAUCGCCUUGAAGGAUGGGGUUGAGAAGGCAUCGGAAUAUUUUGCAGGCUAUUUGUUGGAACAGAGUUUGUCGGUGGACAAUCUCUUUGUUUUCAUUCUGGUCUUCAAGUAUUUUAAAGUGCCACUGGAGUACCAGAAUCGGGUGCUUUCUUAUGGUAUUGCCGGAGCAGUGAUCUUCCGUGCAGUGUUGAUCAUCCUAGGAGUAGCUACCAUUCAGAGUUUUGAAGCGGUGAAUUUAUUUUUUGCUGCGAUCCUGCUAUUCUCUUCCUACAAGCUAUUUGCUGGAGACGAGGAAGAAUCUGAUCUGUCUGAUAACUUCAUUGUGAAAACAUGCCAAAAAUUCAUUCCUGUCACUGAUUACUAUGACGGUGAUCGGUUUUUGAUAAAUCAAGAUGGUAUAUGGAAAGCCACCCCAUUACUCUUGACUCUGGUAGUGAUUGAGCUAAGUGAUAUUGCUUUUGCUGUCGACUCAAUACCAGCAAUCUUUGGUGUGACAAGAGACCCACUUAUAAUAUUGUCAUCAAAUAUUUUUGCUAUUUCUGGCCUGAGGUCACUCUACGUACUCAUUUCUGAGAGCAUGUCUGAGUUGGAGUAUCUGCAGCCUGCUGUUGGUAUCGUUUUGGGCUUCAUAGGGGCAAAGAUGAUCUUUGACUUUUGUGGUUAUCAUAUACCAACUGAAGCUUCCCUUGCUGUUGUUACCACAUGUCUUAGCGGUGGAGUAAUAUUGAGUCUUAGGAAAGCAUCAAGUGAGGAACGUGACAAGUAG
rnacentral:rRNA from 1 species